rnacentral:rRNA from 1 species
AACGAACGCUGGCGGCAUGCCUAACACAUGCAAGUCGAACGAGACCUUCGGGUCUAGUGGCGCACGGGUGCGUAACGCGUGGGAAUCUGCCCCUUGGUUCGGAAUAACUUCGGGAAACUGAAGCUAAUACCGGAUAAUGACGUAAGUCCAAAGAUUUAUCGCCAAGGGAUGAGCCCGCGUAGGAUUAGCUAGUUGGUGGGGUAAAGGCUCACCAAGGCGACGAUCCUUAGCUGGUCUGAGAGGAUGAUCAGCCACACUGGGACUGAGACACGGCCCAGACUCCUACGGGAGGCAGCAGUGGGGAAUAUUGGACAAUGGGCGAAAGCCUGAUCCAGCAAUGCCGCGUGAGUGAUGAAGGCCUUAGGGUUGUAAAGCUCUGUUGCAAGGGAAUAAGAAAGUGAAUGUACCUUGUGAGGAAGGAUCGGCUAACUUCGUGCCAGCAGCCGCGGUAAU